rnacentral:misc_RNA from 1 species
AACGCACAUUGCGCCCCUUGGUAUUCCAUGGGGCAUGCCUGUUCGAGCGUCAUUUGUACCUUCAAGCCUUGCUUGGUGUUGGGUGUUUGUCUCGCCUCUGCGUGUAGACUCGCCUCAAAACAAUUGGCAGCCGGCGUAUUGAUUUCGGAGCGCAGUACAUCUCGCGCUUUGCAUUCAGAACGACGACAUCCAAAAGUACAUUUUUACACUCUUGACCUCGGAUCAGGUAGGGAUACCCGCUGAACUUAA